rnacentral:rRNA from 1 species
UACGGGGGGAGCAAGCGUUGUUCGGAUUUACUGGGCGUAAAGGGCGCGUAGGCGGCCACCGCAAGUCGACUGUGAAAAUCUCCGGGCUUAACCCGGAAAGGUCAGCCGAUACUGCGGGGCUAGAGUGCAGAAGGGGGCAACUGGGAAUUCUCGGUGUAGCGGUGAAAUGCGUAGAUAUCGAGAGGAACACCUGCGGCGAAGGCGGGUUGCUGGGCUGACACUGACGCUGAGGCGCGAAAGCUAGGGGGAGCGAACGGGG